GCAAGAUUGAAUCAGACUAAUUGCUGAUGUAAAUUGCAGUGUUAGUGUUUCUUUGCAUACUAUGAUUUCUUUUUUCAACAAAUGAUCAGAAAUACAUUACAGUACAAUACUAUCAUUGUAAACAACUGUAGAAUUAAAUAAAAUGCAGUAACCAAUUAUUUGGAGCAAAUUGUCCUCACUCAAAUGUGCGUAAGAGUGUUCUUGAGUGUUCGUAGAAUUCGU